AGCAGCAGGUGGCACCUAGCAAGG
rnacentral:siRNA from 1 species